AGUAACGCGUGAGGAACCUGCCUCAAAGAGGGGGACAACAGUUGGAAACGACUGCUAAUACCGCAUAAGCGCACGGCAUCGCAUGAUGCAGUGUGAAAAACUCCGGUGGUGUGAGAUGGAUCCGCGUCUGAUUAGGUAGUUGGUGGGGUAACGGCCCACCAAGCCGACGAUCAGUAGCCGACCUGAGAGGGUGACCGGCCACAUUGGGACUGAGACACGGCCCAA
rnacentral:rRNA from 1 species